UACAGAGGGUGCAAGCGUUGUUCGGAAUUAUUGGGCGUAAAGGGUGCGUAGGCGGUGCGGUAAGUCUGUAGUGAAAUCUCUGGGCUCAACUCAGAGUCUGCUAUAGAAACUGCCGUGCUUGAGUGUGGGAGAGGUGGGUGGAAUUCCCGGUGUAGCGGUGAAAUUCGUAGAUAUCGGGAGGAACACCCGUGGCGAAGGCGGCACUCUGGGACGGUACUGACGCUGAGACGCGAAAGCGUGGGGAGCGAACAGG
rnacentral:rRNA from 1 species